UACGAAGGGUGCAAGCGUUACUCGGAAUUACUGGGCGUAAAGCGUGCGUAGGCGGUGAGUUAAGUCUGUCGUGAAAGCCCCGGGCUCAACCUGGGAAUGGCGAUGGAUACUGGCUCGCUAGAGUGCGGUAGAGGAGAGUGGAAUUCCCGGUGUAGCAGUGAAAUUCGUAGAUAUUGGGAAGAACACCGAUGGCGAAGGCAGCCAUCUGGACCGACACUGACGCUGAGGCGCGAAAGCGUGGGGAGCGAACAGG
rnacentral:rRNA from 1 species